ACGGAAGGCAGCAGUAGGGAAUCUUCGGCAAUGGGGGCAACCCUGACCGAGCAACGCCGCGUGAGUGAAGAAGGUUUUCGGAUCGUAAAGCUCUUUUGUAAGAGAAGAACGUGUGUGAGAGUGGAAAGUUCACACAGUGACGGUAACUUACCAGAAAGGGACGGCUAACUACGUGCCAGCAGCCGCGGUAAUACGUAGGUCCCGAGCGUUGUCCGGAUUUAUUGGGCGUAAAGCGAGCGCAGGCGGUUUAAUAAGUCUGAAGUUAAAGGCAGUGGCUUAACCAUUGUUCGCGUUGGAAACUGUUAGACUUGAGUGCAGAAGGGGAGAGUGGAAUUCCAUGUGUAGCGGUGAAAUGCGUAGAUAUAUGGAGGAACACCGGUGGCGAAAGCGGCUUGCUGGUCUGUAACUGACGCUGAGGCUCGAAAGCGUGGGGAGCAAACAGGAUUAGAUACCCUGGUA
rnacentral:rRNA from 1 species